AAGGCCUUCGGGUUGUAAACUGCUUUUGNNCCGAACGAAAAGCUUUGGGUUAAUACCCUGGAGUCAUGACGGUACCGUAAGAAUAAGCACCGGCUAACUACGUGCCAGCAGCCGCGGUAAUACGUAGGGUGCAAGCGUUAAUCGGAAUUACUGGGCGUAAAGCGUGCGCAGGCGGUUUUGUAAGACAGAGGUGAAAUCCCCGGGCUCAACCUGGGAACUGCCUUUGUGACUGCAAGGCUAGAGUACGGCAGAGGGGGGUGGAAUUCCGCGUGUAGCAGUGAAAUGCGUAGAUAUGCGGAGGAACACCGAUGGCGAAGGCAACCCCCUGGGCCUGUACUGACGCUCAUGCACGAAAGCGUGGGGAGCAAACAGGAUUAGAUACCCUGGUAGUCCACGCCCUAAACGAUGUCAACUGGUUGUUGGGUCUUAACUGACUCAGUAACGAAGCUAACGCGUGAAGUUGACCGCCUGGGGAGUACGGCCGCAAGGUUGAAACUCAAANGAAUUGACGGG
rnacentral:rRNA from 1 species